rnacentral:rRNA from 1 species
AUUUUCUCAGNUAACGUAGCUAACGCGUUGAAAGUUGACCGCCUGGGGAGUACGGUCGCAAGAUUAAAACUCAAAGGAAUUGACGGGGACCCGCACAAGCGGUGGAUGAUGUGGAUUAAUUCGAUGCAACGCGAAAAACCUUACCUACCCUUGACAUGCCACUAACGAAGCAGAGAUGCAUUAGGUGCCCGAAAGGGAAAGUGGACACAGGUGCUGCAUGGCUGUCGUCAGCUCGUGUCGUGAGAUGUUGGGUUAAGUCCCGCAACGAGCGCAACCCUUGUCUCUAGUUGCUACGCAAGAGCACUCUAGAGAGACUGCCGGUGACAAACCGGAGGAAGGUGGGGAUGACGUCAAGUCCUCAUGGCCCUUAUGGGUAGGGCUUCACACGUCAUACAAUGGUGCGUACAGAGGGUUGCCAACCCGCGAGGGGGAGCUAAUCCCAGAAAACGCAUCGUAGUCCGGAUCGUAGUCUGCAACUCGACUACGUGAAGCUGGAAUCGCUAGUAAUCGCGGAUCAGCAUGCCGCGGUGAAUACGUUC